rnacentral:tRNA from 1 species
UUUAUUUAAUAACUAAAUUGUCAAAGUUGUAACCUUUGUAGUGGUUAGUU